rnacentral:lncRNA from 1 species
UUUACAAUCUCUUUUCUCACAUUUACAAAAUCAUCAAUUUACAUUAUCAUAUUCUCUAGCCUUCAAUUCCUUUUGGUAACUAAAAGGAGACACUAGGUGACAUUACAAACAUAAAGGGGCUUGUCUAUAACGAACACGUCCCAUGAUAUCAUCAAUUAAGAUCAUCCAGAUUGUAGAUCGGAAUUAUCAAAACACUAACUUGUAGAAGACCAAUGAGGUGGACGUAGGUUUCUUUCUAAAAACCCUAAGCACCACUCAAAGCUCUCUCUUUCUUUGUUUGCUUUUGACUGCUAACCACCUGCUGUUGCUGGUUGGUCGCCCCUCUCCCUUUUCCUACUUGUUUUUUAUGCCCUUUUGGGGGCCUCAUUUAAGAUUUCGUAGCUCGUAUUAUGGGAUAAUUUCUAGAAAAGCAAAAGAAAGGAAGAAUAGAGAAGAAACAUAAUAGAGAAGAGAAAGAAGAGAUGAAUUUCACCGAUUAGAU